UUGGCCAGGCUGGUCUCGAACUCCUGACCUCAGGUGAUCUGCCUGCCUCGGCCUCCCAAAGUGCUGGGAUUACAGGCAUGAGCCACUGUAUCCGGCAGGGCAGGACUUUCGUAUUUCAGAUGUGAACACGAGCUUGGAUAGGAUUGGUGCUGGGAAGAGCAGAAGAGGAACCUGGGAAGGUGGACCAGUGCACUACGUGAAGGUGCUGUACAGGCAGGCUCAGAAGCUUAGACUUCCUUUUGUGGGUAAGAGGGAACUGCGGAAGGAUUACAAGCCAGGGUUAGAUCUGGAUUCUGAAAACAAUCUGGGAGGAUGUCUAGCAUAGCCAACAGCAUUAUUGCCCUCAUCAUUCAGUCAUUUGAUGGACUUGAACUAGCAUCCGCUCUGUGCCAGGCUCUUGUCUUGGGAAGGGUACCCGGAACAGCCUCUACCUGCCCUCAAGAUGCUCCUAAUCCAGCUUGGAAGACAGAUGUGUAUACAGACCACAGUCCAGUGUGUUCACUGACAUCCUGGGAAAUGCCAAAUUGACUCAGCACCAUUCACAGAGAAGACUGGUCUUUCCCACAGUAACUGCAGUGACGUCCGUGGUGUUCAUCAUGUGACUGAGGACGUGGCUUUGGUUCUGUGCUCUGUGUUCGUUUGCUUGGUCUGUUUCUCGUGGCACCAAUACUGUUGAUACCUGGUAGUGUAAACCUUCCGAUACUAUUCUUUAAGAUUGCUUUGGCUUUCUAGAUCCUUUGUAUUUCCAUAUAAGUUUUAGAAUUUGAUUGUCAGUGUUCACAAAUAAACCCUCAUGCUCACUGUUUAAA